CUCUUACCCUCACUAUGGCUAUGCUGAUCUGCCCCUGGACACCCUGCCACUAGACCCUGAACUCCACGAGCCCUACAUCCCUGACUUGACCUAUGACCCAAGACAGGUCUACCCUGAACCGCUCUAACAGGAUAAUUAAUCAGAAAUUCGAAAAGAAAACAAAGGAAUGGCCAAAUCAAAGGAAGAAAGACUGGAGAGACAGGUGAAGGAGGAAGGAGACUGAAGGAGUGAAUCACCAAUGGAAUCAGCCCUUUCCAUGGGUGGAAAAAAAAUCCCAUUUGGCAAUCAAGAAUCAAAAGAGGAGAGGAGACAGCAUGAGAGCAGCAGAGCAAGGGAUAACAGGAGAACAUGUCUUUAGAAGCUGCAUAAUCUAGAAAAUAAUCUUAUAAUUUAAAGUAAUUAAGUAAAAUCUCCCCCUCGUCCAAGUGUGGCUCCCCCAGUAAAACGUGGCCAUUUCCACCACUGGACUUAACCAAACUAAACUAGUAUUUUAUCCUUAAAGGCUUUACAAGUUAGACAGAAUUCUAAUUUGCUGAAAUGUUUCAACAUCACAUGUAACGCUGGUAUAUUAGUUGCGACAUACAAGGAUUUUUCCCCACAUGGGAAACACUCAUGUUAUUCAGUAUUAAGUCCAAUCUCGCGUCAAAUUAUACUUAACUAUAACCCCCAGUUUAAUCAACUUUUUACUGGCGUCACAAAAACACUUGUUAAGCAUUUAACAGGAACAGAAUAUUUUCUCUCUCCCAAUUCUACCAAAUGCAACCUGUGUAUCCCAGCCUUUAGCCGCUGUUUUUUUAGAUGUCUCCUCUGUGUAUUUGAACAGUGCACAUGUCCAGGGGUGUCCAUGUGUGAUUGUUGCAUGGUAGUGUAUCGUGUACUAAUAGAAAUAUUCUUCGCCUUACAUAAUGAGAAAAAAAUGACAUGAGUUCUACAAGCUGCCCGCCGCCUGGAGAACCUCAAUGCGGAACUGGACUACAAAUCCCAGCCUCACUUUCACUAAGCGGAUAUUCUGUUAAAAUGUCCACAGAAAAUGCACUACAAAUCCCCUGGUCAUCUUCGGCAUCAGACUUCAAAUCCCAGCAUUUUCAAGUCAUACCCAAUUAAACCUACUCACGGUUGUUGUGGCAACACACAACAACAGCAGCCUUAGCCUGCAAUGUUAAAAAAGCACAACUACAAUGACUUAUCACUUGCUGAGGCAAUCUACCGCAGCU